AGGGAUUUAGGAUAGAAAAAAGACCAAGGACCUUCAAAGUCCUAAGCGAGGGUGAAAGUCCCCCAGUCCCUG
rnacentral:tRNA from 1 species